rnacentral:rRNA from 1 species
GGUUUUCGGAUCGUAAAGCUCUGUUGUGAGGGAAGAACAAGCAAGGGAGUCACUGCCCUUGCCAUGACGGUACCUCACCAGAAAGCCACGGCUAACUACGUGCCAGCAGCCGCGGUAAUACGUAGGUGGCAAGCGUUGUCCGGAAUUAUUGGGCGUAAAGCGCGCGCAGGCGGUCCUUUAAGUCUGAUGUGAAAUCUUGCGGCUUAACCGCAAGCGGUCAUUGGAAACUGGGGGACUUGAGUACAGAAGAGGAGAGUGGAAUUCCACGUGUAGCGGUGAAAUGCGUAGAGAUGUGGAGGAACACCAGUGGCGAAGGCGGCUCUCUGGUCUGUCACUGACGCUGAGGCGCGAAAGCGUGGGUAGCGAACAGGAUUAGAUACCCUGGUAGUCCACGCCGUAAACGAUGAGUGCUAGGUGUUGGGGGUUUCCACCCUCAGUGCUGCAGCAAACGCAUUAAGCACUCCGCCUGGGGAGUACGGCCGCAAGGCUGAAACUCAAAGGAAUUGACGGGGGCCCGCACAAGCGGUGGAGCAUGUGGUUUAAUUCGAAGCAACGCGAAGAACCUUACCAGGUCUUGACAUCCCGCUGACCGGUCUGGAGACAGAUCUUUCCCUUCGGGGACAGCGGUGACAGGUGGUGCAUGGUUGUCGUCAGCUCGUGUCGUGAGAUGUUGGGUUAAGUCCCACAACGAGCGCAACCCUUGAUC